UGUUUUACUAUGGAACAAAUUAGUUUCUCAUGGGGAAAUUCCCAGUGCAGAACUUAGUUUCUAGAAUUAAGCCCAUGGUUCAUCUAUCCAAUCCAUUGAUCUGACAGCCCACAUGGACCUUUUCCAAACAAUCCCCUGAAUUAAUCAAGUAUAACCUUCCCAUUAAUGCCACGCAAAUACAUGAUUAAAAAGGAAUGCAUGAAGAAGCCGCAUUCAAUGGAGGAAGACCAAAGAUUUGAUUACCAGGAUAUUCCGAUUUGGGAAUGAGUUCCAUGAGAUCAAUGGCUUUGAUGGACUAACCAUGGGCCCCACAUCUACAAACUGAGUUUCCAACAGGGAACUUCCCUAUGCGAAAUAAAUAGGAAACUCAGCCUCAGCUUUACAUUGAAGGAAUGAUUGAAUGUUUUCUCUGCAUGUCAAUGAUUCAGUAUGAGAUAUGCCAUCAUAUUCAAUACUUGAUCAUGGACUCCACAUAACAUUGCUUGACUUGCCCGUAAUCUUUUCUGUUCAUGAUGAGAGGGAUUGUAUGAUGGUAUGAUGCAAGAUCAUGGCAUGCCCAUCUUUCAGCUAACUAAGUGCUUGGUCUGAUUGAUCCCACAAGGUAUUUGGUCAUGCCCCAAUUUUUUCCCAUCUCAACUGAACUUAGCCAUCCAAUUGAAAUGGGUACCUAAGGAUCCAAUUUUAGUUGGGGCCAAAUAGGUUGUUCAGGAUCUCUGACAGGGAGAUUUUGGGUGCAUCUCCCAUCCGAAAUGGGGUCCACCCUAUGGACAAUUUGGACCACUAGAAA